rnacentral:rRNA from 1 species
AUUAUUUUGUAGCAAUACGAUAUGAUUUUAGUGGCGAACGGGUGAGUAAUGCAUAGAUAACUUGCCCCUAAAUUAAGGAUAGCUCAUCGAAAGAUGGGGUAAUACUCAAUAAGGUAUAUAUUUGAAAUAAUAUAUAUUAAAGCUUCACAGCGUUUAGGGAAAGGUCUAUGUUCUAUCAGCUUGUUGGUGAGGUAAUUGCUUACCAAGGCUAUGACGGAUAGCUGGUCUGAGAUGAUGGUCAGCCACAUUGGGACUGAGAUACGGCCCAAACUCCUACGGGAGGCAGCAACUAGGAAUCUUGCACAAUGGGGGAAACCCUGAUGCAGCGACAUCGCGUGAAGGAAGAAGGUCUUUGGAUUGUAAACUUCUUUUAAUGAGGAAAAUAAUGAUGUUACUCAUUGAAUAAGUAGCUGCUAACUACGUGCCAGCAGCAGCGGUAAUACGUAGGCUACGAGCAUUAUCCGGAAUUACUGGGCGUAAAGAGAUGCGUAGGCGGCUAAAUUAGUCUUUAGUUAAAUACAUAGGCUUAACCUAUGUCAAGCUAAAGAUACGGUUUAGAUUGAGGGAGAUAGGGGGAGAUGGAACUUCUGGUGGAGUGGUGAAAUGCGUUGAUAUC